UGUAAAUAGGUUCCACUCUAUUAUUUUCCGUGACAUACCUUUUUGUUUCCCUGGGGGCUGAUUUGGCGUCGCACCUUUGUGACCAGCUUCAGUGAGCACUGACGCUCGAGCUGGAAUGGCCAGGUGUGAGUACGAGGGUUUGUGACCCCCAAAUUAAAAGGCCGAGGUCCAAAGUGAGGUAAAUAUUGGUUUUAAUGAGCAAACAUCAGCCAAGGAACUGACAUUGGUCUGCGGAGAGAGACGGGAUCUAUAAAGCACAAUGCACACGUGUGUGGGGGGGGGGGACAUAUUUAUCUGUUACACAAGGCGCCCCCUACAGUGGGAGCAGGAGAAUCUAGAGAACAUACAGAUCAGGAUCCAAGUCUACGGUACAAAAACUUAGCAGCAAUAUGUUAAAACACCAAAGGCUAACAAAGUAGUUCCAUUUAGAAAAAGUCACAGUAUUUGUUAAAAAGGUAGAAAGAGUUGUAGGCGAGGUCCAGGGCAACACUGUGGCCCAGACCUCGUGUACAAACGUGACAAAAAUAUACACCUCAAAAUCAUCUUGUUAGUUCGGCUAUCUUGACAGGUUAUGUCUUUUUAAUACAAAAAUAAGGACAAAUAUAAAUUAAUAUAUAUUAAAAGAAUCAGGGGGCGGAGCUACUUAAAAAGUACAGGUAUUUAUAAAUACUCGUGACUGGGGAGUAUAUGUAGUGAACCUGCAGGUAACGUAGAGGAAGAACUCGUACAGGUGAGCAUGGAGGGAAAAGACUGACAAAACACACCAACGCUCAUGUUUUUCAGCACCAUUCACUAUUUUCUUCAAUUAGAAAAACAAUUUGCAAGUAUAAAAACAUUUUUCUUCAAUUAAAAAUGAGAUUUGCAAGUAAAAAAAAUAUUUUUUUUUAAAAUGAAAAAAACCCUGAUUUGUAAGCAAAAAAAAAAAAUGUUCUUCAAUUAAAAAUGAGAUUCGCAAGUUAAAAAACUUUUUCGAUUAAUAAAACGAUUCGCAAGUGUAAAAACAAUUUUAAUAAAACAAUUGAUUAAAAA